rfam:Citrus sinensis cultivar Ridge Pineapple sweet orange scaffold00306_contig_9, whole genome shotgun sequence.
UGGCAAUGAUGACAAAAAGGCCGGACUUACGGCUGCUACUAAUUGUUCGUUUGGUAGUAGAAUGAUUAUUCUUCCUGUAAGGUGUACGUGCUGAGCCAG